rnacentral:misc_RNA from 1 species
GUUUCUAACAAGCUUAAAAGCUUCCCCCUUAUCUCAUUAAAGCGCUCAGAUAACUGAGAAUCUUCUAUAAGUUUUGCUAUCUGAUCAAAUAAUUUAGCAGAAAUAAUCUUUGAUUGGCCUUCACUGAGGAAGCCAGAGAGUCUUUCUGACAAACGCAUAAAAGUUUCAGUCAACUUUGAUACCAGCUUUGAUUCAUCCCACACAGUUACCAUACCUGUUGGAUCCUCCUUGACAGUAAAAUCCUUAGAAUCUAAUAAGGCACUGGAAACAUUAAUUGGC